rnacentral:rRNA from 1 species
UACGGAGGGUGCAAGCGUUAUCCGGAUUUACUGGGUUUAAAGGGUGCGUAGGUGGGUAAGUAAGUCAGUGGUGAAAUCUUCGAGCUUAACUCGGAAACUGCCAUUGAUACUAUUUAUCUUGAAUACUUUGGAGGUAAGCGGAAUAUGUCAUGUAGCGGUGAAAUGCUUAGAUAUGACAUAGAACACCAAUUGCGAAGGCAGCUUACUACAGGGAUAUUGACACUGAGGCACGAAAGCGUGGGGAUCAAACAGG